GGGGUAGUGGUGCAGCGGUAGGGCGGUCAACCCCUGAUUGAAAUAUUGUAGGUUCAAUUCCUGCCUUGCCUG
rnacentral:tRNA from 1 species